CACGUAGGGUGCGAGCGUUGUCCGGAAUUAUUGGGCGUAAAGAGCUCGUAGGCGGUCUGUCGCGUCGGUCGUGAAAACUUGGGGCUUAACCCUGAGCUUGCGGUCGAUACGGGCAUGACUGGAGUUCGGCAGGGGAGACUGGAAUUCCUGGUGUAGCGGUGAAAUGCGCAGAUAUCAGGAGGAACACCAAUAGCGAAGGCAGCUCGCUGGGACGUUACUGACACUGAGGCGCGAAGGCGUGGGGAGCGAACGGG
rnacentral:rRNA from 1 species